rnacentral:snoRNA from 2 species
CACCUCUCAGGGUCACACCUGGAGAGUUUCCAGUACCCUCCCAGUCUUGGCUAUGGGAGGGAGAGUCAAGCAGAGGCCUAACCAUUCCAUUCCUAGCUUGGACAGUGGCUAGCAAGUGAAAGGCAAUCUGCUACAAGU